AAUUUGCUGUUAAGAUGCAGUAUACCCGCGGCUAGACGGAAAGACCCCGUGAACCUUUACUAUAGCUUUACACUGGACUUUGAGCCUGCUUGUGUAGGAUAGGUGGGAGGCUUUGAAACCUUGACGCUAGUUGAGGUGGAGCCAUCCUUGAAAUACCACCCUGGCAUGUUUGGGGUUCUAACUUAGACCCGUUAUCCGGGUUGAGGACAGUGUAUGGUGGGUAGUUUACCUGGGGCGGGUUUCUCCAAAAGAGUAACGGAGAAGUGCGAAGGUACCCUCAGCACGGUCGGAAAUCGUGCAUUGAGUGCAAAGGCAUAAGGGUGCUUGACUGUGAGACAGACAAGUCGAACAGGUACGAAAGUAGGUCUUAGUGAUCCGGUGGUUCUGUAUGGAAGGGCCAUCGCUCAACGGAUAAAAGGUACUCCGGGGAUAACAGGCUGAUUCCUCCCAAGAGUUCGUAAAAGAGCUCCCCAUAAGAGUAAUCUUAUGGUAAACUGUGGCUCAAAUCGGUGAAACCCUGUUUUAAGGGUAAUACCGAGGGUAAGGUAAUUUGUCGUGGAAACUAAAGAAGCGCAGCGUAUGCGCGAGCAAAGUCUAACAAAACGUCAAGUUGACUUGGUGAUUGGCUCGCUUUUAGGAGAUGAGUAUCUCGUAAGAACUACGAGAGGUUAUGCUUUUAGAGUUAAUCAUGGGUUAGUGCAAAAAGAAUAUGUAGAUUGGAAGUAUCAUAUUCUAAACAACUUUGUUAGAACGAUGCCCAAAGCGAGUGGACGCUGUUUUUAUUUUAGAACAGUAACACAUCCGUCUUUCCAAUUAUUUAGAAACCAUUUUUACGAAGGAAAUAUUAAACGUUUAUCAUUUGAAGUGGUAAACAAGUAUUUAAAUCCCUUUGUGUUGGCGGUCUGGAUAAUGGAUGAUGGCGCAAAAGAUGGCAAUCAACUGAGAAUUAAUUCCCAAAGUUUUACUAAGGAAGAAAAUCAGUGGUUGCAAGAAAUUCUACGAGCUAAACUCGGAAUAGAAACUACACUCAAUAGUGACAAAAAUAGAUACCGAAUUCGUGUUAAUUCGAAAAGUAUGAGUGUAUUAACUGCCUUAAUAAAGCAGUAUUUUAUACCAAGCAUGCUAUAUAAAUUACCCCUGUAACGACUUCUCUGUAAAAGAGAGAUAGUAACUUCUAGUCAUUAAAUGACUAAAUCUAUGGUUACUAUAAAACGCCACUAUCCUGAAAAGGAUAAAGGUAUAGUCUAUCCUGCUAGUAAUAGCAGUGGAUGUCACAUCGACGGGGGAGUUUGGCACCUCGAUGUCGGCUCAUCACAUCCUGGGGCUGUAGUCGGUCCCAAGGGUAUGGCUGUUCGCCAUUUAAAGUGGUACGCGAGCUGGGUUUAGAACGUCGUGAGACAGUUCGGUCCCUAUCUACCGCGGGCGUUGGAAAUUUGAGAAGAGCUGCUCCUAGUACGAGAGGACCGGAGUGGACGUACCUCUGGUGUUCCAGUUAUCAUGCCAAUGGUAUUGCUGGGUAGCUAUGUACGGACGGGAUAACCGCUGAAAGCAUCUAAGCGGGAAGCCUCCUUCAAGAUUAGAUUUCCCGACCCUUUAUGGGUCCUCAAGGUCCGUUGAAGACUACGACGUUGAUAGGCGGGAUGUGGAAGUGCAGUAAUGUAUGAAGCUAACCCGUACUAAUUGACCGU
rfam:Candidatus Thiomargarita nelsonii contig_2037, whole genome shotgun sequence.